GAGAUACAGGCAGGAAGGCAGCCUUUGACCUCAAAGUUGUAGUACAAAAGGCUUGAUUGAUAUUCCUUGCUAAGAAAAUCAGGAUGAACACUGCAGGCAAGGGCAGAAGAAUCCCACCAUCUUUUGUAUCUUAAAUAACGUUCAGCAUUGUCAAAGAUGGACUUGAAAAUCACAAUGAAGUUUCUUUCCUCUCCCCCACCCCAUAUUUGACCCUGUAGUCCUGUGAACAUGAGUGUUACUGGAGCAGCCCUAAAAGCAGGAGUUCAGGACUUUCUCCUCUGGUGACCACUUAAGGGCUACUUUAAUAGGUGGGAAGAUAAAGGGUUAAACCAGGGACAUUUCAGUGGCAAAACAGAAGCAAGGACAGAUGGGAAGAUUUCAGGGAUAGCGUGGGAAAUGUUAUUCCGUGCCACUUGCGCUCUAUUAUGUCAUCUCAAACAGUACUUGAUAGGUGAGGCUUUCUCUGACACCCUGGCAAAUGGGACACGUGGGGGCUGCUUCCUAAGCUACCGAAAGCACAUGUUCGUGUGCCUGUUGGACUGCCAGCCUUGGUAUCUUCUCAUCUCUGUUCCGUUGGCCUUCCGAUGACCCACAGAAAGGUGUGCUGGAGGGUUACUGAAGGAGAAAACAGACACUCAUAGGUGACUGGAUUACAGCCAUCUGGCAGUAAAAGCACUACCACCGAAAGCUCAAUGAUAGCAAGAUACUACACGGAUUACCAUUCGAUCUAACCUUUCAUAGCACUUAAAAAUUUUUACUUUUUAAAUGAAGCCGGCAAGCUCUCCAUCCCACAAGUAUCCACGGAGGCUAUGUGCAAGGGAGUGUUCUAAGAAUUAGCCUGGGGUAUGUUAAGUAUCCUUUCCAGAUCAGUUUGAACGCGACAGCGAACGCAAUUCCGGUCUCUAAAUCCCAAUUGCGGGCCAAGGCGCCGGAACCAAAGCGUUGCCGCUUCAUUUCCGGGCGGGAGGCGCCAGUUUGUGGCGAGGGAUCGAUUGCUUUUGCCUGGCGGGGGUCGGUCCGGAGAAGACGGCGAGCUCGGCGGCUGCGGGCCGGCCUGGCGGUGUACCGCGUCCUCGUCGCGGAGGAGCCCGAGCUGCUGAGAUCCGGGAGGCGCGCUGGGCCCGCGUCGGACGGCUCGGUCGUGUUUGCACACGCGCUGGUGCGAGGCCCCUUGUUGGUGAUGGAGGUGGUGAGUCUCCUGGUUUGUGAAAUGGACUUGAUUCGUAUUUCACGUAGCUGACCAAAGGAUGUAUGAAGCAUUCAGCCCAACAUCUGCCAAAUGAUAAUGCUCUUGAAAACAUACGGAUUUUGGUGCUUCAGCUUCUCUGUUCCUCAGUUUCCCUUGCUGAGAUCAUCAGUGACCUGCUACUUUCCAAAUCUAGUAUUUUCUCAUCUGUAGCCAACCUCAACAACAACAAAAAGGAGUUCUUUAUGGUGAAGUCAGACCAUCCUAGGCCUCUUGGGAGUUACUCCUUCCUUUUUGGAAUGAAUGCCCUAUGGGCAGGAUGGUUGAAAACCAGAGGGUAGUCCCUGCAGAGUCCUGUGCUUCUGAAGAAACACUCUUAUUAUGAAAGCUGUAUCGAAGCAGGAAUGGAGGUAGAAACAACCCCAUGACAACUUUGGAUUAAAGAUGAAGGCCAUACAAUAUGGAAGUAACCUGGGUCCCUGAAUCCCAUUUGGAAGAGAGCUGCCUGAACUGGAAGGUACUAUGCUGAGUGAACGUCACAGAGGAAGAUGCUAUUACAACAGCUGGUGCUGUUCGCCAUCUUCAGAAGGAGCAAACCUUCCAAGAGCUGUUUUUCUUUACAUCGAGAAGUGCAUUUCUCACUGGUGAGCGAAUAAUCAAUAGAUCAGGACCAGAAGUUUUGUGAUGAUUUCUCCGGGAAGAGACUGCCCAGGGUGCUUGCGGCCUGUUCUGCCUGUCUCCCUGCUGCUCCUGGCUCUCUGCAGAGUUUAGCAGAUUAAUCACCGUGCUCCAGCCCAGACUGUUAUUUUUAGCUCUGUUGACUUCUCAACUGUCUGCAAACAACCAUGCACUAGACAAAGUACCCUGCAGGUGGGCAAGAGAGCCCCGCGAAGGGAAACAGCCCUGCUUUGGGAAGAGGAGUACUCACCCCAGUGUGAAGAAUGGCAGGGUACCUCAGGAGGGAAGCUCACGGAAAGAAGGAAACCGUCCUGUUGACCGGUGGUUAGUCUUCACGUGGGUCGCGGCCAGGUGUAGUUGGCUUGCAGUAAACAGUUGGGCCAUCAGUGAACAAACGGACAAGUCAUCGCCCUCCCCCGCGCCGUGAAGGUGAUUUUGUGGCAGCUGGACUGCGCCUCACCCAGGUGCCGUAACUCCCGAGUCCAGUGUCACUGCCUUUCCCUUUGGUCGCCCUCGCCCGCCUCCAUGAUCACUGCCCAGCAGCACUGCCUCCGCUCGCGUCACUCGCUGUCACUUUGUUUAGGUCAUUUCCUUCAACCUUCCCUCUGGGGAGUCCCCUUAGAGCCUCAGCCUUUUUCUGGGCAUCUCCACUGUGCUCUUUUAAUUAAAAAAAAAAAUGUUUUUGGCUAGCUUUAUUGAGGUGGAAAUGGCAAACGGAAGUUGUAUAAGUUUAGGUUGUACAGUGUGAUUUUUUUGAAGGUGUACAAUGUGAUGACUUCAUAUAUGUAUACAUUUUUCAGUGGCGAGAACACUUAAGAUCUACUCUCGGCAGAUUUCAAGCAUACAAUAUAGUUUUAUUUACUGUAGUCACCCUGAUGUACCUCAGGUCCCCCCAAUAUAUUCUUCUUAUAACUGAGUUUGUUCUCUUUAGCCAACAUUUCCCCGUAUCUCCCAAGCCCGCGGCAACCGCUGUUCUACUGCCUGGUUCUGUGAGUCCAACUCUUUCAGAUUCUACACGUAAGUGAGACCAUACAGUAUCUGCCUUUGUGUCUGGCUUAUUUCACUUAGCAUAAUGCCCUCCAGGUUCCUCUAUGUUGUGGCAAAUGGCAGGAUUUCCUCUUCAUCAUAAUAGAAACACCUUCUUUCCCAUCUGGACCUAGCCUCUGAAUGUCAGAGACUGUAACUAGUGUCCAAGGGCAGUGACCCAGAAAAGCCCACAAUAGCAUCCUUGUUACUGCAGAAGCUCCCGUGAGGCCUAGUUCAUCCCUGACACUCAAUGUGACAACUUCCUCGCCUCUAACAAAAUGGAACAGGUAGUCCUGAAUUAAACCCUCUUACCAACUGUGGACAUUUGCUACCAUCUCAUGCUCCGGAAGUUACAGACAUGAUGAGGAAAGUCAAACGUGUCACGGACAGUUGGACAGAAAUGACAGAAAGGUCUUGCCUUCUUGAUGACCUUCCUGAGCUGCUAAAUUGCCCUGAGAUCACUUUCUUUUGGACUUCUUGUAGUUUAAACUGCUGUGGGGCGGGCACUCUGUUAUGUACAGAGGAAGAAAUCCUAACGGUGUGGGAUUGAGCAAGAGUUUCUUUAAGGAUGGGAGAUAUUUGUACAUAUAAAGCCCUUUAUUUUUUUUGUUCCAUAAUAAUAAUUAUAAUGUUAUUACUAUUGUAUCAUUAUUUGUAAAUAAUUCUUUAUCAUAUUUCUAGUGUACAUUUGGGUUUACUUGUAAUUUCUGUUUAUAUCAGUUCUAUUAAAAUCAGGAAGAAGAAAA